CGCCUCAGUCUGGGUGGUGGAGAACAAAUCCCAGUUGCCUCCGCCUCUGAGAUCAUCAACCCGCGCAUCUUAUCACGUGGCAUGUUGAGCGUGUUGCCAUGGAGACAUAGCCAUAGGCAACCAUGCUCAACUCACCACACACCCCACCGAGAACGAACCACAUUAUGGCAACCAUGAGGAGGUUACCCCAUGUGACUCUACCCUCCCUAGCAACCGGGCCAAUUUGGUUGCUUAGGAGACCUGGCUGGAGUCACUCAGCAUGCCCUGGGAUUCGAACUAGCGAACUCCAGGGGUGGUAGCCAGCUGUCUUUACCACUGAGCUAACCAGGCCCCCCAAGACAGUGUCAUCUUGAAUGCAAUGUGAUCAUUUACUCCACCCAUGUUUAUGCUGUUUGCAGAGUCUGGGAAAUGUCGUGGCAUUGGAUAUGUGACAUUCUUCAUGGGAGAAGAUGCUCACCGGGCCGUGAAAGAAGUCCGAGAGUACGACGGACAGAAGAUAUCUGUAGAUGUGGCCAAGCAAAAAAACAGAUGAGAAGAAAACGAAACGGAAGGAAGUUUCAGAAGAUGCAGAGAGCCCUAAAGAACCAGCAGAAACCAAAAGUCAACAACAGUCUCAAGGCAUGAGGAAGAAACAACUGAGAACUUGGUUGAUCAUCAGAAAUAUCAGUUUUAAGUGCACAGAGGAGGACAAGAAGCAGAUCUUCUCUGAGUUUGGAGUAGUGCUUGAAACCAAGAUUCCUCUAAAACCAG